rnacentral:lncRNA from 1 species
GCUUGAGCUCGGCUGAGGCCCUUGGCUGCCGACAGGGCGGCAGCCUUGAUUCGCUCGGCUGCAGCCUGCGCUUUCUCUUCCUUCUUGCUAGACAUAUCUGACUGUUAGUAUGAAUGGAUAAGGUGCGAGCUUAAAGGAGGUGGAAAGCUGAUCUGUCCUGCAAAAAAGAACACCAAGAUUCUGCUUUAUCAAGGAUUGCCACUUGGUGAAGUAAAACACAUUUACAGGUGAAAAACAGAAAUAUCAAAGAUAAUAAAGAAAUAUACAAUUUUGAGAAAAGAGCACAAGAUGAUUAAGAUUAACCAUGUAAUAUUUAGGGGAAGUAAAAGUACACAGCUCGCGUUUGGCUCGAGCUCGUAUCAAAAUAGAAGAUCCUAGCUUGUGGUCGGUUCGUUUUUUAUUCGAGCAGGCUCAAAUUUCGCUCGUUAGCUCAUGUAGUGACAGAAACGAAGGCACCUCGUGUAGCUUGAUGUAAUCAAGCUUGUUUUUGAGCUAUAUUUUACGCACCUAUGGAAAUAUACAAGAAGCAGCAUAAAAACAACGGAGCUUUUUAGAAUAACUUAAGAAUAAUUGCAGCAUAAAUUAAGAUACAAAUCUAUUCAUUGUUUAGAAUAAAUUAAGAUACAAAUUAAGAAUAAAUUAAGAUCUUUCAUUGUGUAGCUUCUCUCACCCUCUUGUAAACGAAUUCAAUAAAUAUAAAACAUUAAAAGCUCAUACGCAAAGUUGCAAAACCUAAACCCCAAAGUCCUCUUAAAGGAAAAAUAAGAGCCUAAUAAGGCUCUAAAAUUUGUCUCCGGAGAAAAUUAAUAUUGAUUUUGGACUCCUCAAUCACCAGUUGAUAGUUGGAAAUAAAGGAAAAAGAAUGAGAUAGCCAUAAACAGGACAUCAUCAAAGAAAUGAUAAGAACCAGUAAUUGAUUAAAGAAUUUUUUUUUCCUUUUACGUUAUUUUUAAUUGUGGGAAUAUUGCCCUAAUUUAUAAUUCCUUUCCUCCUCCUUGCAUCUAUAUAUGUAAACCCUAGGAGGCAUUGGAAUUACUGAACGAAGAAAAUUAACAAAAUUUUUUGAUUUUGAAGGCUGAUCCCCGUGAAGUGGUCGAUUAUCUUCUUCU